rnacentral:lncRNA from 1 species
GAUUUUAACAUAGAACUGUUAACAGAGAGAUACAAAUUAUCUAUAGCUCAUUUAACAAUUCCAAGAUAUAGUUGUAACCAAUCUGAGCACAUCCAGCCCAUAACUUGAACGUAAUCAGGUACUCAAGGCACCCAGGACACAGUUUCUGCCUGGCACAUUGCUGUCUUACAGAAGAAUGAGCAAGAGACUGAAUGUUCUGCCUACAAAAUCCUCACAAGGAGCCCAGUUUGGAGGAUGGCAUCAGUCACUGGAAGCAGUGAAUGAGCCAAACUGACACAUCUUUUCUUGGUUGGAUCACUCCAGUCACCCCUUUUAAAGUAAGUGGGGAUUUACUGAUAGGAAGUUCAAUUUGCCAUAGGACAUAAUGUGACAAUAAAUAUGCUA